CUGAGCAUUAGUUACUCAGGAGGGUGUUUAGUGAGCAGACAGCCUCUUGGAUUAGAGAUUGUUAUACAAAUGUCAUUCUUUAUCAUCAUCAUCUAACUUUUCAAGAGCAGAGUUAAGAAAGAAACUUUCCUAAUAUCACCAAUUAUCCAGUUGAAUCAUGAAACACAAAAGAAAAAUAAAACAUCUGGAACCUUCAUUGUUAAACUAAACAGAAAAGAGACCAAGAGCAGAGGAAAGGAAAAAGCCAUAUGAUCCUGUCACUAGUUGGAGAAAAAGUAUUGGACUAAAUUCUACAGCUGUUCAUAGUAAAAGCUAUCAGGAGAUUAGAAGUAGAACAGAACCUUCUCAACAGAUUAAAGACAUGUACUCCAUACUUCCAGUGAGAACGCCUUAUAUGAAUGGAGAAGAUACAAUCUUUCUCCUUAAGGUGGAGAACAAGGGCAGAUAUGCUUAUUCUUUAUCUGUCCAUUAAACUCUGAAACCUAG
ensembl:lncRNA